GAAAUGCGAUAAGUAAUGUGAAUUGCAGAAUUCAGUGAAUCAUCGAAUCUUUGAACGCACAUUGCGCUCCUUGGUAUUCCUUGGAGCAUGCCUGUUUGAGUAUCAUGAAAUCUUCAAAGUAAAUCUUUUGUUAACUCAAUUGGUUUCUACUUUGGUAUUGGAGGUCUUUGCAGCUUCACACCUGCUCCUCUUUGUUCAUUAGCUGGAUCUCAGUGUUAUGCUUGGUUCCACUCGGCGUGAUAAGUUAUCUAUCGCUGAGGACACUGUAAAAGGUGGCCAAGGUAAAUGCAGAUGAGCCGCUUCUAAUAGUCCAUUGACUUGGACAAUACUUUUAUGAUCUGAUCUCAAAUCAGGUAGGACUACCCGCUGAACUUAAGC
rnacentral:misc_RNA from 1 species